GAGAAGAGUCUGAGCUUUCUUUAGAGAUGAGGAUUACAGAGUCAACCAUCCAGCGCAAGGCCCAAAAUAAAAGCAGGGUGGAUUGGGCCAGAUAAAACCAUGAAGAAACCAUGAUGAAGGGUGGAAGGAGGUUGGCGCCUUUUGGUUUUUUUUGGGGCGCUACCUCAGGGCGUGGGCGUGUUGGAGGGUAAGAAUAGUAGACUCUACUUGCAUUUUUUUUUUGACUUUUUGGCGACCGGUGUCUGGCAGAUUCUAAUUGGUCGCUAUUUUUUUGCCGUAACCAGAGCUUGCUCAUGAGCACGGGAGCUCGCUCCAGAGCACACCUAGAACGCUCACGGGAGGAAGCGGGCGGCGGCGGGUAGCCAGGAAGGGGCGGUAGGGAGGUAACGAGGGAGGAGCUAGGGCUAGACCUAGCUCCCCUGCUCCUCGAGCACGGAGGGGCUGCCGGCCGGAGGAGGAGCGGGGCGGCGACGCAGGCCGCGGCGGUACCGGAGACCUCGGUCCCUUCGGUACCGGACUCGAGCCGGAGCUCCAGGGGCGGCGGCAGAGGACGUCGAAGACGGGGCGGCGGAGCGGCGGGCUCGAGCGGCAGCGUGGUUGGAGCCGCGGCGCGGCUGCGGCCGAGACCAGCGGAGGUGGAGGCGCGACACUCCUUGGGUGGUGCGCACAGUUCCGCUCCGCGGAGGACCCGACGCAGGCAAAGGUCUCGCUCGCGGGCACUUAUGGAUCGAUCGGCGGCGGCAGCACUGGCAAGGUCGGUGGCGGUUCCUGUCCUCGAACGUGUCUCAAAAAUCAUCUUCUGCCGCAUUUAACACCAUAACCGGCGUUAGACCUUCAAGAAGUCUAGGUUUAGGACGAAGUCUUUCACAUAUACUUCGUUUCCAGACGUGGAUGUACAAUAGUCUUCAGUUCAGAAUCUGUUCCUUUCACCUUCCUCACUACUUCUUGAUUUUGUAUCAAUGUCACCCGCAAAAAAUAUCCUUGUUUUGACUUCUUAAACUGUAAUUGUAUUAAAAUCAUGAUUUAGUCCACAGGGACCAAAACAAUCGUAGUCCUGUACAACUGGAUUAACAGGUACCAAUGUGAGUAGAAGUUUGCCGUGUUGAACAAAACGACGUGUAGAAGAGAAUGGUAUACUACUUGUCUUGCUGCCGCGGCUGUACCUACUGAGCCUCGAGUUGGAACAGUUCCCGGCGCUCGUCGCCGCUGAAAGAAAAGGUGCUCUUCUACUGGUUCCCGCGGUAGCCGGUGAAACAGAAGCGGCAGCUUCUCAGGUUCGAGCAGAGGCGUAGCCAACGUAACCACGGCUAGUCCCUUUAUACCUGUGACCUACUCGGACAAUAUGUUAUGUCAGCACGUGGAGAUAGCGCAGCUCUUCCUGUCCUUAAGAGUCCUCUCAAAAGAGGGAAAGCGUCCUAUGCGCUCUGACACGCUGCAGGCGACCUGUUUCGCCAACCUGAUAAACUCUGGCGAACUGUACUACACCAACCAGGCCGCGGCAAAACGCCCAAAAGAAGUGCCCUGCCGCGUCGCCGAAUCACCCGACAGGGGGGGGGGGUGUGUGUGUGUGUGUCAACGUAGGAAUGGGGACUGGGUAACUAAGAAGGGGCAAACGAAACUUAAACUACAAGUUGACAUCCUGACUUAAAACUUCAAACAGAACCAAAUAGAACUUAAGGGAGACUGGGGAUUAGUAGACACACAUCAUCUUGAUGAACAGGAAGGGUAUGGAGGUGAUUGAAAAAAGAAUGAUAUAGUAUCAACAAACUAAUAACCGUUUAUUUUGUUGUUAAUAAAUGGAAUAGGAAAAAAUAGACGUCUAACCAGAUCGUUGUAUCUCUCCUUCGACGUUUCUUCGAGGUUCACCUACAUCUCAAAAGAGAAGUUAAAGUCGAACACCUUAAACUCCUCUUAGACACGUGGUCGUAGGCUGAGGAACUACAACGAGACUAGUAUAACACAUUUAUAUAAAGAUUAUUUCGUUAGCGGGCCACCACAUGUACAAUCUUUAUUGUUCUACAUUAGUAGUUCACACUCUCUACCGUUGUAGUACUACCCUACCAUACAUGACAACACGAGUAGUUAUCCCCCUCGAGUUCCAGUACCGUCCCGAAGCUAAAAAGAACAUCUUUUCUCUCUGUAUCCUCCUAGGCCCCUCCUCCUCUCCAUCCUCUUCUUCCUGCCCCUUCAUCCUUCCCACGUCAUCCCCACUCACACGAAGGCGGACGGUGCGGGUUCCGAACUAGACGGCGGCGGAGAGGAGAUGGGUACGACGGACACUGUGCAGUCUAGGGGUCGACGGCAGUGAAGAGGAGACGGGUACCCGGUACCGACAAAAUUACGUAGUUUAGGUGAUGUCUAGCUAGACGACAUUGUAACCGACCCACAAGAGAAGAGCUGAGAUGGUUGUGAGACCUCAAUGUUCGUUAACGUAGUCCUCGAGCCAGUUUUUAGUGGAUUCUUUUUAUACAGUAAGAAGAGAUGUUCCCAACGUACACCUUAAACUCCUCUUAGACACGUGGUCGUAAGGCUGAGGAACUACAACGAGACUAGUAUAACACAUUUAUAUAAAGAUUAUUUCGUUACCGGGCUACCACAUGUACAAUCUUUAUUGUUCUACAUUAGUAGUUCACACUCUCUACCGUUGUAGUACUACCCUACCAUACAUGACAGCACGAGUAGUUAUCUCAAUCUAGUGAAAAUACAGACUCUCAGCUAAAAAACACACGCAAUCUACCUAACUGUUCAUGGCUUCUAACUACGUUCGUUUUGAUUUUGGACAGGUACCUAAUGGAAGUCAGGGCGUAAGGUUAGUUGUUGUAACUCGGCUCGCUCGCGCGCCCACCGCGUUCUCCUUUACCCGUCGGCCACCUCUGACUCACCACUCACCGCCACCGCUCCAGCUCGCCAACCGUGGUCGACGUUAAUGGCACUGCCCGCUCGCCUGCCCCACUCAUCCACAGUGCUAACGUAGUGUUAACCUUAUUUCAUUUUUUUACGUAUGUAUACCGGUAACUGACUAAAACACACAACACACGAACACAAUUGCUUCUAAUAAAGAGUUGAGCCGUACACCAAUCUCUGAUUUUUCUGCUACGGUACCAUCGUACCGUCUGGACCGUUCACGGUGCCUG
rnacentral:rRNA from 1 species